rnacentral:rRNA from 1 species
CCUACGGGCGGCAGCAGUGGGGAAUAUUGGACAAUGGGGGGAACCCUGAUCCAGCCAUGCCGCGUGUGUGAAGAAGGCCCUCGGGUUGUAAAGCACUUUCAGUGAGGAAGAACGCCUGGUGGUUAAUACCCAUCAGGAAAGACAUCACUCACAGAAGAAGCACCGGCUAACUCCGUGCCAGCAGCCGCGGUAAUACGGAGGGUGCGAGCGUUAAUCGGAAUUACUGGGCGUAAAGCGCGCGUAGGUGGCUUGAUAAGCCGGUUGUGAAAGCCCCGGGCUCAACCUGGGAACGGCAUCCGGAACUGCCAAGCUAGAGUGCAGGAGAGGAAGGUAGAAUUCCCGGUGUAGCGGUGAAAUGCGUAGAGAUCGGGAGGAAUACCAGUGGCGAAGGCGGCCUUCUGGACUGACACUGACACUGAGGUGCGAAAGCGUGGGUAGCAAACAGGAUUAGAUACCCUAGUAGUC